rnacentral:rRNA from 1 species
AGGCAAGUAUAACAUGAAUAUCCUAUCACUGUUUAAAUACAAUUUCAUACUGCAUUUAAAUAUUGUAUGCCUAUAAGGACUUCCUAGCCACCUUAUCCUAUAUAAAUACCUUGGGUUGCAUUUUGGUUAGUUGUGCUAGGUGCCGCGCUCUCACACCCCUCAGUCCUUUUUAAUUAAAUUUGAUUAAUGGUUAUAUGCAACUUAAUUCUGAGAGUGGCCCUCUGUGCUGUGUGCUUGAGCGGCUCACGUCUCGUUAAAAGAUGGUUUUAUAGAAACUUGGUUUAGGGGACCUGAGGAAUAAGCAUCAGCUAACUCUGUGCCAGCAGCCGUUGUAAGAUAGAGGGUGCAAGUGUUAUCUUGAAUGAUUGGGCGUGAAGCAUCUGUAGGUGGCUUUUCAAAUCCGCCGACAAAUCCCAGGACUCAACCCUAGACAGGCGGUGGAAACUACCAAGCUGGAGUACAGUAGGGGUAGAGGAAAUUUCUGGUGGAGCGAUGAAAUGCAUUGAGAUUGGAAAGAACACCAACGGUGAAAGCACUCUGCUGGGCUGACACCAACACUGAAAGAUGAAAGCUAGGGGAGAAAAUGGGAUUAGAGUCCCCAAUAGUCCUACCCGUAAAUGAUGGAUACCAGGUGUUGUGUGACUCGACCCGUGUAGUGCUGUAGCUAACGCAUUAAGGUAUCCCACCUAGGGAGUACGUUCGCAAGAAUGAAACUCAAAGGAAUUGACGGGGGCCCACACAAGCAUGGGGCAUGUGGUUUAAUUCAAUGCAAAGCGAAGAACCUUACCAGGGCUUCACAUGCCGCGAAUCCUCUUGAAAGAGAGGUGUGCCCUUGGGAACAUGGACAUAGGUGGUGCGUGACUGUCGUCAGCUCGUGCCGUAAGGGGUUGGGUUAAGUCUCGCAACUAGUGCAACCCUCGUGUUUAGUUGCCACUAUAAGUUUGGAACCCUGAACAGACCACCGGUGUUAAGCCAGAGGAAGGAGAGGAUGAGGCCAAGUCAUCAUGCCCCUUAUGCCCUGGGCGGCACUGACGGAGUGGAAGAAGGGUGAAGACUCUCGAACAAGGAAAAGGAUCCCUUUGAAAUAGUUGAACGAGGAGCCGUAUGAGGUGAAAAUCUCAUUACGGUUCUGUAGAGGGAUAGUAAGGAUGACUUAUCUGUCGACGUUUCCACUAUCAACCCCAAAAAAUCCAACUCUGCCUUGCGUAAAGUUACCAAAGUAUGAUUAACCUCUGGAUUUGAAA